GCUGGUGAUAAUAGAGAAGAGGGUACACCCGUUCCCAUCCCGAACACGGAAGUUAAGCUCUUCAUCCCCGACGAUACUUGGGGGGUAGCCCCCUGGGAAAAUAGGACAUCGCCAUCU
rnacentral:rRNA from 1 species